UAAUUUCAUGGUUGAUUCAAUGAGGUUUAAACCCCACGUUUCUGUAUUUGACCAAAACAAAUGGUGCUUGUUUAAGAGAUAACCUUUUCUCCACAUAUGUUUAUAAGAUCAGUGUUAAUCCAAGCAUCUGUUUAUCUGCCUGAGUCACAGCGCUGGCUCAUUUUCUACAGAGACAGAAAACAUUAAGCCAGCAUUCUCUGAGCUCCAUAAAUUAAGGUUCAAAAUAUAAGACCUUCAUGUGGUUGGAAUCUGCAGAUUAAACAAUGGUCAUAAAUCAGGCACAUCUGGGGUGCAAUAAAUCUGUCUUUCUAUUUUUGGACACCUCGCUCUGAGUCCGAUGUGCCAGGAUUUGAAGAGCUCUCAAUGCAGAUAGAGGGAUCAGUAUGGCUUGAGCAUUGUCUCACGCAAUUGUAUUAUUCAUCCAUGAAAAUCACUUUUUGCUAUGGAUCAGCAUGUACUUGGAAUCAAAUUGUCCAUGAAGUUCAUUACUUUGAUAUUACAGUCUUUUCCAAGGAUUAUUUUGGCUCUCAGCAAGAGUUCUUUUUUCUGCUGAUCAGCAAAAUGGCACGACUGAUUCAGUGGUAACAAAUACAGUUUGAACUGAAAAAAAUUCAAGCAUGUCCCAGCUUGUGUGCUGUAUUACAGAAUAAUAAAUUAACGUUUGCUUGACUCUAAAUUAUAAGUACACCUGCUGCCAUCAUAUCCAGUCAUUUGUACAUGAAGACUAAGACAUGUACCAAAACUAAACAUGCAACUCCUUCUAUCAAUAUCACUAUUGCAUUUUAUUUAAGACACCGAUUGUUUACGUGGACGCACACAGCCAUUCCCUUCUUGAAAUGCUUAAAUCCCGCAGUCAUUCUUCAAUUAUUAUCUAGGUUUAUGAUGUCCAACGUAGAAUAGUGAAUGCGUUAUUGUAUCAUUAUGUUGCUAGAGAAAAGCAAAGCUUUGAUCUAGUUUGUAUUUGAGUUGCAUGCAUAAUUAUUAUUUCUGUCUCCUUGGUUUAUUUGCAGCAGAUGUGUGGGAAUUGAUUCUGUAUUACACCAAACCAUCUGCUAUUCAUUCACUCUUCAUUUGUUUUGUUUUCUAUGAAUUGAACACGCUCAGAAUGAACGUUUGGAAUCUUUUAUCACUUGCCAGUUGUCCAAACUAAUGAGGGAUAUGAAAGCUUUCUGCUGAGCUUUAUAUUUUGGGGCAUAACAGCCUUUAACCACAUGCUUUUGUAGGCUUUAUGUAUAUAUUUAUAUACACUCUAAAUACACGCUCAGCGCGUUUAUAUCUGAAGCCAUCAAUCUGAAGGCCUAAAUCAGAACAAAAGGGAUGCUGGAGCCAGGAAGAUAUUCAUUGUCUCCCAUAAAAGAAUUAGCUGAAUAAACAGCUUUAAUGCAAACUUGCAUGGAGUUCCAGCCUUUUCAAAAGUUGGAAAUCAACACAAGUUCAAUGUAGAUAUUCGUUUUACUGGACUGGCAUGACUUUCAAGUUUUUUUCUCUCUGCAAAGCAUAGAAAAAGCUACAAAGUCCACCAGGAGUUGAUGGUGUUGGCAUACGCCAAAUAAAAACUUUCACCAAGAGGACAGCGGUUUGUGUCUUAUGUGGUAUCAUUACAUCUCUGUAAUUGUAUUUUUAGAAUAGACUGGGAAGAAAAUUACACAAAAAAAACCAAAACAUUUUUGGUGAGGUUUAUGCCCCAAAGCUACAAUAUUGUACAGAAGUCUUGUGAAAGCACUCGGUUCUUUAUAUUUGCUAGGAUAAAGGGAAAUAUUUGCAUUGAUCUAUUGUGAAAAAAUAAAUGCAAAUGCAAUAUAUACUAUAUUUCCAGGCUUUAUGAAAGACAUUUAAAGCUCUUCUUUGAAUUAACACAAAACUGGUUCACCCCUUGACUUCUAGGUCCUCAGCCCUAUUAAAUGUUAACUUACAGAGGAUCACUGGAGGGUCGUUGGUCUUCUUUGCAAAAUGUUGUUGUUGUCUUUAUUUUAACCUAUUAAGAACAUUGACAUAAAUCUUUAACAUAGAUGGUAAAACUGAAUUAAUGGAACUGUUUCUCACUGUGUUUGUGUAUUUACAGGGCAAAAAUGAAGAGCACACUUCUACUGGUGUCUUUGGACUCCAAUACAAACAUUAGAGCCUAACCUGAUGUCUAGCAUUUGUCGACCAAAAACAGUUAAUGGAUACUUGUGGCUAUUUUGCGUAACUGUGUUCACAGUAAGGCUAAUAAUUAUACAUGUUGCAGAUGCUGCUUUUUCCAUAUACCCUCUAAUAGCAGGUUUUAAACCAAACCCAGGUAAGAUGGCUGCCAUAUGGUUCCAUUUGUGUGUGGGAAUGUGUUUUGACAUUUCCUUUUUAUUGUUAAGAUCUAAAUGAAAUAUCCAACUGUUGCCUUUUAUUCCAGUAGGAGGCUGUAAUUGUCGGAUGCCUGGAUAAACUGUCAGCUUAGACCGAUUUCUUCUGCAGCCAUCUGGACCAUUAGUCCCCCUUCAAUGCCUGCACAUUUUUGGACUCACUACACAGGAGAGGAGAUAGCGGCUCAGAUGACGCCAAAGUGAUGUGCUCCAAAACACAUUAACGAAGUGACAUCCAAACCAAGAGCAAAACCCCCUGCUCCUUUCUGACUGGGACAAAAUAAGCUUCCAUUCGGAGAAAGACUGAUUCCUCAGCCACACAUGAUAAUUCCUUUAUGCCAUUGCAUGGCUGUCAAAGAUACAGUCCCAAAGGACAUGAGGGACAGCAAAGUGUUGUUUAUUCUUCAGCUUUCUCCAGGGCACGAAGAAAAUGCCAACAAGGUUUUCAUUGUGAAAGAACAGACAUCCUUUGUGUUCCCUGCCAUUGAGUUCUGUGUUUCCAUAGCCCAAUGCUCUCCACCCUCUAAAUCAUAUAAUAUUCCUGAAUUACAAAGACAUGCGGAGAAUAGGGUUUCUUUUUUCUCAGACAUUUCUGUCAGUGUCUUAAAGUUUUGUCUUGGCCAAGAAAUCUGAGCCCUGCUCCAGAGGCAGAUCAACACACUUACCGAAGACAAUGCCUGUCAGUAAUUUAUGGGUUUGAAGAAGUCUGGUGUAAAAGCCAUAAAAAGUUAAAGUCUGAUGGAAGGGGAACAGUUACACUUGGUGUUUAAACGUGGCACAAUUUGGUGCCAACUGUAUUAAACAUGGAUUUCAAACAACUUAACAAGACUUAGAGGCUAGAGUCAACAGAUCUCUGGGCUAUGAUGAGGGAGAGCAGUGCCUUCUAACAUACUGAUGUUUAACAGCCAUAUUUAUUUAUAUCUUCACCAAUGUUUUUUAGUGUGUUGGCAUGGAAACAUUUGUU